rnacentral:misc_RNA from 1 species
UAAUAUCACACCCACAUACCCUGUGUAUGUGAUCCCGUGUGGACCUGGCCGUUCCAGUUCAGUGCUCGAUCCCUUUGAUUAGGAAUCGAACCAGUCACCCUGGAUCGGCUGAAGAGCAGAGGCUAACUUUGGACCCGCUAAGGGCCGCAAUUGAGUAGGCACUCGUGCUAAUACUUUAAUUGUUGGUCUGGGACUAUUGUUCGGCCCUAACCAGGAAACAUUAACCUAUUU